rnacentral:rRNA from 1 species
UACGUAGGGUGCGAGCGUUAAUCGGCAUUACUGGGCGUAAAGCGCGCGUAGGUGGCCCUGUAAGUCCGUUGUGAAAGUCAAAGGCUCAACCUUUGAAAGCCGAUGGAUACUGCAGGACUAGAGUACGGAAGAGGCGAGUGGAAUUCCUGGUGUAGCGGUGGAAUGCGCAGAUAUCAGGAGGAACACCAAUAGCGAAGGCAGCUCGCUGGGACGUUACUGACACUGAGGCGCGAAAGCGUGGGGAGCGAACAGG